rnacentral:rRNA from 1 species
AUUGAACGCUGGCGGCAUGCCUUACACAUGCAAGUCGAACGGUAACAGGUCUUCGGAUGCUGACGAGUGGCGAACGGGUGAGUAAUACAUCGGAACGUGCCCGAGAGUGGGGGAUAACGAGGCGAAAGCUUUGCUAAUACCGCAUACGAUCUCAGGAUGAGAGCAGGGGACCGCAAGGCCUUGCGCUCACGGAGCGGCCGAUGGCAGGUUAGGUAGUUGGUGGGAUAAAAGCUUACCAAGCCGACGAUCUGUAGCUGGUCUGAGAGGACGACCAGCCAGACGGGGACGGAGACACGGCCCAGAUUCCUACGGGAGGCAGCAGUGGGUAAUUUUGGACAAUGGGCGCAAGCCUGAUCCAGCCAUGCCGCGUGCAGGAUGAAGGCCUUCGGGUUGUAAACUGCUUUUGUACGGAACGAAAAGACUCUGGUUAAUACCUGGGGUCCAUGACGGUACCGUAAGAAUAAGCACCGGCUAACUACGUGCCAGCAGCCGCCGUAACAC